rnacentral:rRNA from 1 species
AAGGGCGCACGGUGGAUGCCUUGACACUAGGAGUCGAUGAAGGACGGGACUAACGCCGAUAUGCUUCGGGGAGCUGUAAGUAAGCUUUGAUCCGAAGAUUUCCGAAUGGGGAAACCCACCAUACGUAAUGGUAUGGUAUCCUUAUCUGAAUACAU